UAGGGAAUCUUCGGCAAUGGGGGGAACCCUGACCGAGCAACGCCGCGUGAGUGAAGAAGGUUUUCGGCUCGUAAAGCUCUGUUGUUAAGGAAGAACGAGUGUGAGAAUGGAAAGUUCAUGCUGUGACGGUACUUACCCAGAAAGGGACGGCUAACUACGUGCCAGCAGCCGCGGUAAUACGUAGGUCCCGAGCUUUGUCCGGCUUUAUUGGGCGUAAAGCGAGCGCAGGCGGUUAGAAAAGUCUGAAGUGAAAGGCCGUGGCUCAACCAUUGUAUGAUUGAGUAGCUGUUUAACUUGAGUGCAGCAGGGGAGAGGGAGAAUCGAUGUGUAGCGGUGAAAUGCGUAGAUGUAUGGAGGAAGAACGGUGGGGAAAGCGGCUCUCUGGUCUGUAACUGACGCUGAGGCUCGAAAGCGUGGGGAGCGAACAGG
rnacentral:rRNA from 1 species